UACGUAGGGGGCCAGCGUUGUCCGGAAUCAUUGGGCGUAAAGCGCGCGUAGGCGGCCAGAUAAGUCCGGUGUGAAAGUCACAGGCUCAACCUGUGAAUGCCGCUGGAAACUAUCUGGCUAGAGUCCGGAAGGGGCGAGUGGAAUUCCUGGUGUAGCGGUGAAAUGCGCAGAUAUCAGGAGGAACACCUAUGGCGAAGGCAGCUCGCUGGGACGGUACUGACGCUGAGGCACGAAAGCGUGGGGAGCAAACAGG
rnacentral:rRNA from 1 species